rnacentral:rRNA from 1 species
CCAAUAGCGUAUAUUAAAGUUGUUGCAGUUAAAAAGCUCGUAGUUGAAUUUCGGGAUCAAUAUAUUGGUCGUGCCUCCGGUACGUACUGGUAUCGUUGAUUUCUACCUUCUGACGAACCAUGAUGUCAUUAAUUUGGUGUCAUGGGAAAUCAGGACUGUUACUUUGAAAAAAUUAGAGUGUUUAAAGCAGGCACACGCUUGAAUACAUUAGCAUGGAAUAAUGAAAUAGGACGUUUGACCCUAUUUUGUUGGUUUCUAGGAUCGACGUAAUGAUUAAUAGGGAUAGUUGGGGGCAUUAGUAUUCAAUUGUCAGAGGUGAAAUUCUUGGAUUUAUUGAAGACUAACUACUGCGAAAGCACUUGCCAAGGAUGUUUUCAUUAAUCAAGAACGAAAGUUAGGGGAUCGAAGACGAUCAGAUACCGUUGUAGUCUUAACCAUAAACUAUGCCGACUAGGGAUCGGAUGAUGUUAAUUUUUUAAUGACUCAUUCGGCGCCUUACG